GCCCCGCCGCAGCGGUAUGGCCGGGGAGGAGGCGGCGGAGGAGCGGUGCGUCGCGUGCUGCGGUGUGGGGAUGAGCGUACCCGACGGGGCGACGCCCGCCAGAGAUGUUAUCGGCGAAGAAACGGUGUGGGAAUGGGCUUGGAGACCGACCUGCGCGCUGCCCGCCGUCCGAGGCCGGGCAAGGUGCUGGCCGCCCAUGGGACAGCUAAUAUCGUGCAGUGCUCGGUGGCCACGAAGCACGAGGAGAGGCCGCCGGCUGCCUCUCCCCAGCUCCAGACACACAGCACCGGGAUGGUGGUGGAGGGACGGUUUGAGGAGAGCAGACCGAUUUGCUAGUGCAGCGGGAGCUCUGCUGGCAGGCUGAAGCUGCAGCGUUGUCCUCCUGCUGCGAGUGAGGCUGGAAAUGGAGGAUCCCGUGGGCUCGGUGUGCUGAGACGGGUCCUGAGUUCUGCACACGCGGUGUGCUGUGCACUCACAGGCGGUACGUAAAUUUCUGCCAGGUACCGGUGUCCCUCAAGAACACUUUGCCCUCACUGUUUGCAGUCACUGAAUGAAAACGUGCGGCGGGCUGCGUCCCACAAAACCCUGCCGGACUGUGUGUGCCCACGGAGCUGCAUGUGUGCCUGGCUCAGGGAUGUCUCUGACCUCAAGGAGGCCCAAUUCACCGCCUGUUGUAGCACGGCUGUGGUUGAAUGCCCAGAAACAUCUGACAAGAUCCUGUUUGAUUGAAUAUCUGUUUGAUUUCACAUGG